rnacentral:rRNA from 1 species
CCUACGGGAGGCAGCAGUGGGGAAUAUUGCACAAUGGGGGGAACCCUGAUGCAGCAACGCCGCGUGAGGGAAGAAGUAUCUCGGGAUGGAAAGCUCUAUCAGCAGGGAAGAAAAUGACGGUACCUGACUAAGAAGCAACGGCUAAAUACGUGCAAGCAGCCGGGGUAAUACGUAGGGUGCAAGCGUUAUCCGGAUUUACUGGGUGUAAAGGGAGCGGAGGCGGCGCGUCAAGUCAGAUGUGAAAGCCCGGGGCUCAACCCCGGGACUGCAUCUGAAACUGUCGGGCUAGAGUGUCGGCAGGGCAAGUGGAAUUCCUAGUGUAGCGGUGAAAUGCGUAGAUAUUAGGAGGAACACCAGUGGCGAAGGCGGCUUGCUGCACGAUCACUGACGCUGAGGCUCGAAAGCGUGGGGAGCAAACAGGAUUAGAUACCCUUGUAGUC